GCCUGGGUGGCUCAGUCGGUUGGGCGUCUGACUUCGGCUCAGGCCAUGAUCUCACAGUUCGUGAGUUCGAGCCCCGCGUCAGGCU
rnacentral:tRNA from 1 species